UGAAAAAUCAUACGAAGUCCCAGGGAGGUUGAAAUACCUGAAUUUGAAAAAUCAUACGAAGUUCCAGGGAGGUUGAAAUCACCUUGAAGCAGACCUGUAAAAGAGGUUUGAGGACUGAAUAAUUGCUUCCAGUUCAGGCUACCAGAAAUGCAAACGUCUAUUUGUAUGAGGAGGUACAUCCCAGAGUUAGCGUCACGCAUCUUGGAAAGAAUUUUCUUAUGCCAAGGAUUCAAAAGGGCCACAUUUUCACCCCACAAACUUGGAAAUAUACCUAAAAACUAACAGAAAUUAGCAGAAUCUAAUCAUGAUCAUCUUGUGAUCGUUUCCGUCAGAGAAGCCGCGUGGCCUAGUGGAUAGAGCGUGG